rnacentral:lncRNA from 1 species
CAUUCCAUUUGAACAAUAUUCUUCUGUAGGCUCUACUUGUUUUUAAAGGAUUAGUUCUUAAUUAACUACUCUCGAUGUGUAUAUCUUCCUUUUUCAGGGUUUCAAAUGGCUGUUCUCCAUCAUCUGGUGGAAAUGUCUGUUUAGAUUUCUGUGCAUAGAAAUUUCAAGGAUUUUUAUUGUUCUGUGAGUUGUUUUUUAAUCUAUGUUCAGAACAGUUUUAAAUCAUCUAUUUCUGUUUUUUUUUUUUUUUCACUUGUAAAGUAAGCUCUUUCCUUUAGGAAGCAGAGUUCAGCUAAAGGGAAUCUGUAACUAUAACUGGAACAGCUCUCUUGUUAAAGUGUAAAAACAGCUUCAUCUCUGCUUCUCCCCACUGCACUCCAACUUCCUAGAAUGCCUUGCACUAUUUAGCCUUGUUGGUGCUUUUCUUGUCCCUUCGCAAACCGUGUGCAGUAGCUUUAAGCCAUUCAAGUUCCAUUAUGCAGUGUAUCUGAGAAGGGAAAGGAAACGACAUGUUUAAAUUGGAAUAAAAAUGUGCCUAUGCGAACAGUAGCGACUUAGAAUCUCUCUUCU